rnacentral:rRNA from 1 species
GUAGGUGGCAAGCGUUGUCCGGGAAUUAUUGGGGCGUAAAGCGCGCGCAGGCGGUUCUUUAAGUCUGAUGUGAAAGCCCACGGGCUCAACCGUGGAGGGUCAUCGGAAACUGGAGAACUUGAGUACAGAAGAGGAAAGCGGAAUUCCACGUGUAGCGGUGAGAUGCGUAGAGAUGUGGAGGAACACCAGUGGCGAAGGCGGCUUUCUGGUCUGUAACUGACGCUGAGGCGCGAAAGCGUGGGGAGCAAACAGGAUUAGAUACCCUGGUAGUCCACGCCGUAAACGAUGAGUGCUAAGUGUUAGGGGGUUUCCGCCCCUUAGUGCUGCAGCUAACGCAUUAAGCACUCCGCCUGGGGAGUACGGCCGCAAAGGCUG